UGAACAUGCAAAGAAGUGGACAACCUGCCUAUCAAGUAAACCAGGGGAUACACUCUGCUGCUGGCCUUUUGAAAAUUGCUCCUCCACUGCCAGAGGACCUUUCUGUUCUGUUGUAAGAACCUCUGGCUCUGAAGGGGUUAUGUUGGUUACACUUCAAUUGCCCUGCAUUACUCAACAUCGGUUGUGUUGAAUGGGGAGACCAUAAAUCACUGCUGCCUGCUCUGCACCAGCUUAUGAUCAUCCUUGAACUUUUUUUAAAGUGUUGACUCUAAGAAAUAAACACAGUUAAAUGAUUGGUCC